AUUGAACGCUGGCGGCGUGCCUAAUACAUGCAAGUCGAACGCAGUGGGGACGGGAGAGUAACACGUGGGUAACCUCCCAUCAGAGGGGAUAACACUUGGAAACAGGUGCUAAACCCAUACUGGUGGAUGAACCCGCGGUGCAUUAGGUAGUUGGUGAGGUAACGGCUCACCAAGGCCACGAUGCGUAGCCGGCCUGAGAGGGUGAUCGGCCACACUGGGACUGAGACACGGCCCAGACUCCUACGGGAGGCAGCAGUAGGGAAUAUUGGGCAAUGGACGAAAGCCUGACCGAGCAACGCCGCGUGAGUGAAGAAGGUUUUCGGAUCGUAAAGCUCUGUUGUUAGAGAAGCGGUAUCUAACCAGAAAGCAACGGCUAACUACGUGCCAGCAGCCGCGGUAAUAC
rnacentral:rRNA from 1 species